rnacentral:rRNA from 1 species
AACCUCCGCAAUGUGAGAAAUCGCGACGGGGGGAUCCCAAGUGCCAUUCUUAACGGGAUGGCUUUUCAUUAGUGUAAAGAGCUUUUGGAAUAAGAGCUGGGCAAGACCGGUGCCAGCCGCCGCGGUAACACCGGCAGCUCUAGUGGUAACAAUUUUUAUUGGGCCUAAAGCGUCCGUAGCCGGUUUAAUAAGUCUCUGGUGAAAUCCUGUAGCUUAACUGUGGGAAUUGCUGGAGAUACUAUUAGACUUGAGAUCGGGAGAGGUUAGAGGUACUCCCAGGGCAGAGGUGAAAUUCUGUAAUCCUGGGAGGACCGCCUGUUGCGAAGGCGUCUAACUGGAACGGUUCUGACGGUGAGGGACGAAAGUUAGGGGCGCGAACCGGAUUGGAUACCCGGGUAGUCCUAACUGUAAACGAUGCGGACUUGGUGUUGGGGUGGCUUUGAGCUGCUCCAGUGCCGAAGGAAGCUGUUAAGUCCGCCGCCUGGGAAGUACGGUCGCAAGACUGAAACUUAAAGGAAUU